GGUGUUAUGGCAGAGUGGUUAUUGCGGGGUACUGUUAAUACCUUAUUCAGAGGUUCAAUUCCUCUUAAUACCU
rnacentral:tRNA from 1 species